AAGUCGUAACAAGGUUUCCGUAGGUGAACCUGCGGAAGGAUCAUUUCUGUAAAACUUGGAGUUUUGUAUUUGGGAGGAGGAGGAGAGGAGAGAGGGUUUUCGAAUCUUUUCUUUUCUUUUCUUUUUUCCUGUGCAAAGCUUUAAAGAGAUUGUGUGGUUUAAAUGCGGAUAAGGUGGGGGGUUUGGUGGGUUGGUGGUGGUGGUGGUGAUUGUGGAAGUGCAAGUGCUGAAAGGCAUAAAACACGUCUAUUUUCACCUACUCCGCCCUCUCUCCCUCCCUCCCUCUGCUCUAUUCACCAUUUUUAAAACAAACAAAAACACGAUGAUUACUAUUGUAUCAACCAAGAGGAUCUUUGACUGCUUUACUGUGGUUAAAGGUUCACUACCAAAAUAUUAAUGACAAACAACUGUCAACGGUGGAUCUCUUGGCUCGU
rnacentral:misc_RNA from 1 species